rnacentral:rRNA from 1 species
AACGAGGGUUUAACUGUCUCCUUCCCCCAGUCAAUGAAAUUGAUCUGCCCGUGCAGAAGCGGGCAUAACUACAUAAGACGAGAAGACCCUAUGGAGCUUUAGGCAAAUGGUCAAGUAAACCCAACCCUACUCAUAUAUAUAUAUAGGGGAAACAAAAACUACUGAUCAAGAUGCCUUUGGUUGGGGCGACCUUGGAGAAGAAAAAAGCCUCCAAGCGGAAUGGGAAAACCCUUUAACUAAGAGAAACAGCUCUAAGCAUCAGAAAAUCUGACCGAAAGUGAUCCAGAAUAAUGCUGAUCAACGAACCGAGUUACCCUAGGGAUAACAGCGCAAUCCCUUCCCAGAGUCCUUAUCGACGAGGGGGUUUACGACCUCGAUGUUGGAUCAGGACAUCCUAAUGGUGCAGCAGCUAUUAAGGGUUCGUUUGUUCAACGAUUAACAGUCCUACGUGAUCUAGUCCAGACCGGA